UUGACCUCAAAUCAGGUAGGACUACCCGCUGAACUUAAGCAUAUCAAUAAGCGGAGGAAAAGAAACUAACAAGGAUUCCCCUAGUAACUGCGAGUGAAGAGGGAAAAGCUCAAAUUUAAAAUCUGGCAGCUUCGCUGUCCGAGUUGUA
rnacentral:rRNA from 1 species